rnacentral:SRP_RNA from 1 species
AAUGAAGGGCUUAGGAUUGAAAAGCCGCCAACUCGGUCAGGUUCGGAAGAAAGCAGCCGUAACGGUCAGUACAAGGUCUAAGUCCCUUCGCCUUU